rnacentral:SRP_RNA from 1 species
GGCAGUAAGGCGGGAAGCUAAGGGUUUCCCAUCCGCAAAUCCCUUUUCGGCGGGCCAAUGUUAGCUGCGUGUUAUCGGGGUUAUGCAAGCCUGCACCUAGGCGUUGAGAUCUUGCCUUAGGUGAUAGUCUGGUAUGUGAACCAGGCCAGGCCGGAAGGAGCAACCUUAAGCAUAUUUUGGCUAUGCUCUUAAGAUACAGGGUUGAGUUAGGGUGCAACCAACUUGCAUGAUUCGGAUAAUGCAAAGCUAACUUCUGCC